rnacentral:rRNA from 1 species
GAUGAACGCUGGCGGCGUGCCUAAUACAUGCAAGUCGAGCGAACGGACGAGAAGCUUGCUUCUCUGAUGUUAGCGGCGGACGGGUGUGUAACACGUGGAUAACCUACCUAUAAGACUGGGAUAACUUCGGGAAACCGGAGCUAAUACCGGAUAAUAUUUUGAACCGCAUGGUUCAAAAGUGAAAGACGGUCUUGCUGUCACUUAUAGAUGGAUCCGCGCUGCAUUAGCUAGUUGGUAAGGUAACGGCUUACCAAGGCAACGAUGCAUAGCCGACCUGAGAGGGUGAUCGGCCACACUGGAACUGAGACACGGUCCAGACUCCUACGGGAGGCAGCAGUAGGGAAUCUUCCGCAAUGGGCGAAAGCCUGACGGAGCAACGCCGCGUGAGUGAUGAAGGUCCUCGGAUCGUAAAACUCUGUUAUUAGGGAAGAACAUAUGUGUAAGUAACUGUGCACAUCUUGACGGUACCUAAUCAGAAAGCCACGGCUAACUACGUG